GAUGAAGAACGCAGCGAAAUGCGAUACGUAAUGUGAAUUGCAAAUUCAGUGAAUCAUCGAGUCUUUGAACGCACAUUGCGCCCCCUGGUAUUCCGGGGGGCAUGCCUGUCCGAGCGUCAUUGCUGCCCUCAAGCACGGCUUGUGUGUUGGGCCCCGUCCUCCGAUUCCGGGGACGGGCCCGAAAGGCAGCGGCGGCACCGCGUCCGGUCCUCGAGCGUAUGGGGCUUUGUCACCCGCUCUGUAGGCCCGGCCGGCGCUUGCCGAUCAACCCAAAUUUUUAUCCAGGUUGACCUCGGAUCAGGUAGGGAUACCCGCUGAACUUAAGCAUAUCAAUAAGCGGAGGA
rnacentral:misc_RNA from 1 species